rnacentral:rRNA from 1 species
UACGGAGGGGGCUAGCGUUGCUCGGAAUCACUGGGCGUAAAGGGUGCGUAGGCGGGUCUUUAAGUCAGAGGUGAAAUCCUGGAGCUCAACUCCAGAACUGCCUUUGAUACUGAGGAUCUUGAGUUCGGGAGAGGUGAGUGGAACUGCGAGUGUAGAGGUGAAAUUCGUAGAUAUUCGCAAGAACACCAGUGGCGAAGGCGGCUCACUGGCCCGAUACUGACGCUGAGGCACGAAAGCGUGGGGAGCAAACAGG